rnacentral:tRNA from 1 species
GCCGGGAUGGCGAAACUGGCAGACGCAUCAGACUCAAAAUCUGACGGGGUGCAAACCCCGUGCGGGUUCGAUUCCCGCUCCCGGCA